rnacentral:tRNA from 1 species
GCCCCCGUAGUUCAACGGAUAGAACAAGGGUUUCCUAAACCUUAGAUGUAGGUUCGAUUCCUGCCGGGGGCACCA